AAAGAAAGUAAGCAAGGGCGCAUGGCGGAUGCCUUGGCUCUCGGAGGCGAUGAAGGACGUGAUAAGCUGCGAUAAGCUUCGGGCAGGUGCAAAUAACCUUUGAUCCGAAGAUUUCCGAAUGGGACAACCCGUCAUUCUGAAGGAAUGACAUCUUGCAUAGCAAGAGGCUAACGCAGGGAACUGAAACAUCUUAGUACCUGUAGGAAAAGAAAAUAAUAAUGAUUCCCCUAGUAGUGGCGAGCGAACGGGGAUUAGCCCAAACCAAUGUUGUUACGGCAAUAUUGGGGUUGUAGGACCACGAUGUCGCAAGAAGUUUAGUGAGAAGAACCCUUUGGAAAAUGGGACCAUAGACGGUGAUAGUCCGGUAUUCGAAGCUAAAUGAAGCGUAGUGGUAUCCUGAGUAGCGCGGGACACGAGGAAUCUUGCGUGAAUCUGCCGGGACCAUCCGGUAAGGCUAAAUACUCCCGAGAGACCGAUAGCGAACCAGUACUGUGAAGGAAAGGUGAAAAGCACUUCGAAUAGAAGAGUGAAAUAGUCCCUGAAACCGUGCGCCUACAAGCGGUCGGAGCUGCUUCAGCAGUGACGGCGUGCCUUUUGCAUACUGAACCUACGAGUUACUUUUUCCGGCAAGGUUAAGGAUCUUGAGAUCCGCAGCCGAAGCGAAAGCGAGUCUUAAUAGGGCGAUUAGUCGGAAGGAGUAGACGCGAAACCAAGUGAUCUACCCUUGGUCAGGUUGAAGGUUAGGUAACACUAACUGGAGGACCGAACCGAUAAGCGUUGAAAAGCUUCCGGAUGAACUGAGGGUGGGGGUGAAAGGCUAAUCAAACUUGGAGAUAGCUCGUACUCCCCGAAAUGCAUUUAGGUGCAGCCUUGGGAAUUACUACUGUGAGGUAGAGCGACUGAUAAGAUGCGAGGGCUUCACCGCCUAUCAAGUCUUGAUAAACUCCGAAUGCGCAGUAGUUCGAUCCCAGGAGUGAGGGCAUGGGUGCUAAGGUCCAUGUCCUAAAGGAGAAGAAUCCAGACCAUCAGCUAAGGUCCCGAAAUAAUUGCUAAGUUGAACUAACGAAGUCAGAUUGCUAAGACAGCUAGGAUGUUGGCUUGGAAGCAGCCAUUCAUUUAAAGAGUGCGUAACAGCUCACUAGUCGAGGAGUUUGGCGUGGAUAAUAAUCGGGCAUUAAGCAAUUUACCGAAGCUAUGGGAUGUUAACUAAACACUAACAUCGGUAGGGGAGCAUUCCACUCUGCGUCGAAGGUGAAGCGUGAGCUUUGCUGGAGCGUGUGGAAAAGCAAAUGUAGGUAUAAGUAACGAUAAAGGGGGUGAGAAACCCCCUCGCCGAAAGACUAAGGUUUCCUGAUCAACGCUAAUCGGAUCAGGGUUAGUCGGGUCCUAAGGCUCAGCCGAACGGUGAGGCCGAUGGCAGAACAGGUUAAUAUUCCUGUACUACCUUAAGGAGUGACGUGGAGACGGAGGAGUGACAACGCCGCGGACUGACGGAAUAGUCCGUUGAAGGGUGUAGAUGUUGAUUAUCCCAGGCAAAUCCGGGAUAAGAGUCGAACCUGAUAGUAUACCAAAUUCUUCGGAAUAAGGUAAUAGUGCGUGUAAGCAUACUCCCAAGAAAAUCCGCUAAACUUAAUCUUUAAGGUACCCGUACCGCAAACGGACACACGUAGUCGGGUUGAAUAUACUAAGGCGCUUGAGUGAUUCACGGUUAAGGAACUAGGCAAAUUGACCCUGUAACUUCGGGAUAAAGGGUCCCAACGAGAGUUGGGCGCAGAGAAUAGGUCCAGGCAACUGUUUAACAAAAACACAGGGCUGUGCUAAAUUGAAAGAUUACGUAUACAGCCUGACACCUGCCCGGUGCUGGAAGGUUAAGAGGAGAUGUCAUCGCAAGAGAAGCAUUGAAUUGAAGCCCCAGUAAACGGCGGCCGUAACUAUAACGGUCCUAAGGUAGCGAAAUUCCUUGUCGGGUAAGUUCCGACCUGCACGAAUGGUGUAAUGAUCUGGACACUGUCUCAACCGUGAGCUCAGUGAAAUUGUAGUAUCGGUGAAGAUGCCGAUUACCCGCGAUGGGACGAAAAGACCCCGUGAACCUUUACUAUAGCUUAACAUUGAAUUUGGGUAAUUGAUGUGUAGGAUAGGCCGGAGACUUUGAAGCAGGUACGCCAGUAUUUGUGGAGUCGCUGUUGAAAUACGGCCCUUUGAUUAUUUGAGUUCUAACUCGUAGAUACGAGGACACUGUUUGGUGGGUAGUUUGACUGGGGUGGUCGCCUCCAAAAGUGUAACGGAGGCUUCUAAAGGUGCCCUCAGGACGAUUGGUAACCGUCCGUAGAGUGUAAUGGCAUAAGGGCGCUUGACUGGGAGACAGACAAGUCGAUCAGGUAGGAAACUAGAGCAUAGUGAUCCGGUGUUUCCGUAUGGAAGGGACAUCGCUCAAAGGAUAAAAGGUACUCCGGGGAUAACAGGCUGAUCCCUCCCAAGAGCUCAUAUCGACGGAGGGGUUUGGCACCUCGAUGUCGGCUCGUCACAUCCUGGGGCUGGAGAAGGUCCCAAGGGUUGGGCUGUUCGCCCAUUAAAGUGGCACGCGAGCUGGGUUCAGAACGUCGUGAGACAGUUCGGUCUCUAUCUAUCGUGGGCGUAUGAAAUUUGCGUGGCUCUGACACUAGUACGAGAGGACCGUGUUGGACUGACCGCUGGUUUACCAGUUGUGCCGCCAGGUGCAUUGCUGGGUAUCUAAGUCGGGAUUGGAUAAGUGCUGAAAGCAUCUAAGUACGAAGCCAGCCACAAGAUUAGAUUUCUUAGGGUCGUCAAAGACGAUGACGUUGAUAGGAUGCAGGUGUAAAGGUGGUAACAUCAAAGCCGAGCAUUACUAAUUGCCCGUUCACUUUCUUU
rnacentral:rRNA from 1 species